UCCCAUGGGAGGCAGCACUGGGGAAUUUUGGACAAUGGGGGCAAACCUGAUCCACCCAUUCCGCGUGAGUGAAGAAGACCUUCGGGUUGUAAAACUCUUUUGGCAGGGAAGAAAUGGUUUUGGCUAUUAUCCAGGGGUAUUGACGGUGCCCGAAGAAAAAACACCGGGUAAAUUUGUGCCCCCACCCCCGGUAAAAUGUAGGGGGCGAGCGUUAUUUUGAAUUUUUGGGGGUAAAAAGUGCGCAGGGGGUUUUGUAAAACAGAUGUGAAAUCCCCCGGGUUUACCCCGGAAAUGCGCUUGUGACUGCACGACUCGAGUGCGGCAGAGGGGGGGGGAAUUUUCCGUGUAGCAGUGAAAUGUGUAGAGAUAUGGAGGAACACCGAUGGGGAAGGCGGCCCCCUGGGUCGAUACUGACACUCUUGCACGAAAGCGUGGGGGGCGAACACGAUUAGAUACCCUGGUUUGUCCACCCGGUUCUAAAGGGAGUAGGUCCCGGGGGGAGCACCCCCCUCAUAGGGCCCCUCUGAGACUCAGCAGAAUCUGAACUCCAUAUCGA
rnacentral:rRNA from 1 species